UACGGAGGGGGCUAGCGUUGUUCGGAAUUACUGGGCGUAAAGCGUGCGCAGGCGGCCUUGUAAGUCAGGUGUGAAAUCCCUCGGCUCAACCGAGGAAUAGCGCUUGAUACUGCAAGGCUUGAGGGAGACAGGGGUAAGCGGAACUGAUGGUGGAGCGGUGAAAUGCGUUGAUAUCAUCAGGAACACCGGUGGCGAAAGCGGCUUACUGGGUCUCUUCUGACGCUGAGGAACGAAAGCUAGGGGAGCGAACGGG
rnacentral:rRNA from 1 species